rnacentral:rRNA from 1 species
GAUGAACGCUGGCGGUGUGCCUAAUACAUGCAAGUCGAGCGAACGGACGAGAAGCUUGCUUUUCUGAUGUUAGCGGCGGACGGGUGAGUAACACGUGGAUAACCUACCUAUAAGACUGGGAUAACUUCGGGAAACCGGAGCUAAUACCGGAUAAUAUUUUGAACCGCAUGGUUCAAAAGUGAAAGACGGUCUUGCUGUCACUUAUAGAUGGAUCCGCGCUGCAUUAGCUAGUUGGUAAGGUAACGGCUUACCAAGGCAACGAUGCAUAGCCGACCUGAGAGGGUGAUCGGCCACACUGGAACUGAGACACGGUCCAGACUCCUACGGGAGGCAGCAGUAGGGAAUCUUCCGCAAUGGGCGAAAGCCUGACGGAGCAACGCCGCGUGAGUGAUGAAGGUCUUCGGAUCGUAAAACUCUGUUAUUAGGGAAGAACAUAUGUGUAAGUAACUGUGCACAUCUUGACGGUACCUAAUCAGAAAGCCACGGCUAACUACGUGCCAGCAGCCGCGGUAAUACGUAGGUGGCAAGCGUUAUCCGGAAUUAUUGGGCGUAAAGCGCGCGUAGGCGGUUUUUUAAGUCUGAUGUGAAAGCCCACGGCUCAACCGUGGAGGGUCAUUGGAAACUGGAAAACUUGAGUGCAGAAGAGGAAAGUGGAAUUCCAUGUGUAGCGGUGAAAUGCGCAGAGAUGUGGAGGAACACCAGUGGCGAAGGCGACUUUCUGGUCUGUAACUGACGCUGAUGUGCGAAAGCGUGGGGAUCAAACAGGAUUAGAUACCCUGGUAGUCCACGCCGUAAACGAUGAGUGCUAAGUGUUAGGGGGUUUCCGCCCCUUAGUGCUGCAGCUAACGCAUUAAGCACUCCGCCUGGGGAGUACGACCGCAAGGUUGAAACUCAAAGGAAUUGACGGGGGCCCGCACAAGCGGUGGAGCAUGUGGUUUAAUUCGAAGCAACGCGAAGAACCUUACCAAAUCUUGACAUCCUUUGACAACUCUAGAGAUAGAGCCUUCCCCUUCGGGGGACAAAGUGACAGGUGGUGCAUGGUUGUCGUCGGCUCGUGUCGUGAGAUGUUGGGUUAAGUCCCGCAACGAGCGCAACUCUUAAGCUUAGUUGCCAUCAUUAAGUUGGGCACUCUAAGUUGACUGCCGGUGACAAACCGGAGGAAGGUGGGGAUGACGUCAAAUCAUCAUGCCCCUUAUGAUUUGGGCUACACACGUGCUACAAUGGACAAUACAAAGGGCAGCGAAACCGCGAGGUCAAGCAAAUCCCAUAAAGUUGUUCUCAGUUCGGAUUGUAGUCUGCAACUCGACUACAUGAAGCUGGAAUCGCUAGUAAUCGUAGAUCAGCAUGCUACGGUGAAUACGUUCCCGGGUCU